AUUUCAUUUAGUGUUGUGGGUUUUUUUUUGGUGUCUGACCAGUAGACAGUUUUCAAAGAAAUGUUAUGCUUCUUUUUUGUGAUAUAGGUUUGCUCUUGGUUGAGAAGUUGCAAAACAGACCUAGAAGAGAGAUUUUCCCUGCUGUUUGUGACCAUCUCUGUCAAAGAGUGAAUCAGAGAUUGUGACUGUGUCACCUAAGCGCAGGCAAGUAAUGCCAUGUGAGACUCUUCAGAGUAUCCAAAAUAGCAGCCAGAAGCUGGUGGAUACAAUGCAACUCUAGAAGAGGCAUGCAGUUUCCUGGUGGGGCAGUAUCUAAAUGAUACCCACUUCCACUUGCAGCUGAAUCCUACCAUGAGUGUCAAAAACAGAUCAUCUGAGAACAUACCCAGACUUCACGUUGCCACCUUCCCACCUGCCAAAUCCCACGUGAGGCUUUUGAAGUAUUUUGAAGAAUAUGAAGUUCAGAGUAUUUACCAUCAGAACCCCAAGAGCACUAGCAGUCCGUAUGGAACCGUACCAGCCUCUUUUGGAGUAUCCUCUCACUCCUGGCCAUGGCCUAGGAGCUCCAUUUCAACCUAACUUGGAGCCAUCAGUCUCUGCCCCACUAACGCAGAAGGAUGCUGAUCUCCAGCUCUGCCACAAUACUAUCCUGCCUGGACAUGGGUUAUGCUGAAACCUUCUCAGACUUCUUAUACAUCUAAGGUAAAUAGUACUUGUUCUAGAAAUUCUUACAACAUAUAUACACAGUGCAUUUUCUCUGUGAGGAGGCCUUUGAAAAAUCAACUUUCUAUCAGUGUUCUUUAGAUUGGAGUAGUAGGGAAAGCUGUGCUUAUUUACUUGCUGAUGAGUUCUGCACACAUCUUCAUAGAUGCCAGUUGUCCUGUUUCUGUAAGUCUUUGUUCGGGAAGAAAAUCAGGGAAGCAAAAUGAAGACACACUGUUGGAAUGUUACCAGAAGAGGAGAAAUGGAAGAGUGGGGUUGUCUACUAUAUAGGGAAGGCUGGUGGGGACUCAGCAGAAGGCUGAAGACAGAGAUGGUGGUAGCACCUGGCAGCAGAGAAAAGCCACCUAUUCAAGCAAAGGAAAAUGUGUCCACGUGGCACAAGAUUUACAUUGUACAUUUUCCUUGAGGUUUGAGCCUCAAGGCUCAAGUUCCUCAGGCUGAGGUACUCAGCAUGGGCCACUGAAGGUAUUCCUGUGCUUGGGAGUCUGGCCUGGUGAUGCAGGCUCCUCUGCCUUGGGGAGUGCAGGCUUCCCAGCGUGGCAGACUGCCAUGCUCAGGAUGUUAGUCUUACACAUGACGCAUGGGCUAUGGCAACAGAUGGCCUUACCAACUACGUCCUCUGUCUGCAUUGGCAGAGAUGUUUGUACUAUCAAUAGCUCCUGGGAAAUUAAGCUGUUAGCGAGCAAAAUGUGGCUUCUCCGUUGUUCUGUGGGUAAUACAGUCUAUUGAUCAGAUUUCUUCACUAAAUGGUAAAAUGUCUAAUGGCAUGUCCGAAAGCAGUGUUUGGUGUCCGUAGUCCCUCCUACAUUGGACUGAAAUGC
rnacentral:lncRNA from 1 species